AAUGAACGUUGGCGGCGUGGAUUAGGCAUGCAAGUCGAGCGCUCAUAGCAAUAUGGGAGCGGCGAACGGCGUAGGAAUUCAUAGGAACGUACCCUCAGGUCGGGGAUAGCUACGGGAAACUGUAGGUAAUACCCGAUUAUCUCCGUGGAGCAAAGGUGUGAUUCCGCCUGAGGAGCGGCUUAUGCGAUAUUAGUUAGUUGGUAAGGUAACGGCUUACCAAGACAGCGAUAGGUAGGGGGCCUGAGAGGGUUACUCCCCCACACUGGUACUGAGACACGGACCAGACUCCUACGGGAGGCAGCAGUGAGGAAUAUUGGACAAUGGAGGCAACUCUGAUCCACGCCAUGCCGCGUGAAGGAAGAAUCGU
rnacentral:rRNA from 1 species